rnacentral:rRNA from 1 species
UACGAAGGGGGCUAGCGUUGUUCGGAUUUACUGGGCGUAAAGCGCACGUAGGCGGAUAUUUAAGUCAGAGGUGAAAUCCCAGGGCUCAACCCUGGAACUGCCUUUGAUACUGGAUGUCUUGAGUAUGGAAGAGGUGAGUGGAAUUCCGAGUGUAGAGGUAAAAUUCGUAGAUAUUCGGAGGAACACCAGUGGCGAAGGCGGCUCACUGGUCCAUUACUGACGCUGAGGUACGAAAGCAUAAGUAGCGAAAA